rnacentral:rRNA from 1 species
CGGACGGGUGAGUAACGCGUGGACAACCUACCCCGCACUGGGGGACAACAGCCGGAAACGGCUGCUAAUACCGCACAUGCGCACGGCCCCGCAUGGGGCCGCGCGGAAAGCGCAUGCGGUGCGGGAUGGGUCCGCGUCUGAUUAGCUUGUUGGCGGGGUAACGGCCCACCAAGGCGACGAUCAGUAGCCGGCCUGAGAGGGUGGACGGCCACAUUGGGACUGAGACACGGCCCAGACUCCUACGGAAGGCAGCAG